rnacentral:rRNA from 1 species
AGCGGCGGACGGGUGAGUAAUGCAUAGGAAUCUGCCCGGUAGUGGGGGAUAACCUGGGGAAACCCAGGCUAAUACCGCAUACGUCCUACGGGAGAAAGCAGGGGAUCUUCGGACCUUGCGCUAUCGGAUGAGCCUAUGCCGGAUUAGCUAGUUGGUAGGGUAACGGCCUACCAAGGCGACGAUCCGUAGCUGGUCUGAGAGGAUGAUCAGCCACACUGGGACUGAGACACGGCCCAGACUCCUACGGGAGGCAGCAGUGGGGAAUAUUGGACAAUGGGCGAAAGCCUGAUCCAGCCAUGCCGCGUGUGUGAAGAAGGCUUUCGGGUUGUAAAGCACUUUCAGUGGGGAAGAAGGCCUGUCGGUUAAUACCCGGCAGGGACGACAUCACCCACAGAAGAAGCACCGGCUAACUCCGUGCCAGCAGCCGCGGUAAUACGGAGGGUGCGAGCGUUAAUCGGAAUUACUGGGCGUAAAGCGCGCGUAGGCGGCGUGAUAAGCCGGUUGUGAAAGCCCCGGGCUCAACCUGGGAACGGCAUCCGGAACUGUCGCGCUAGAGUGCAGGAGAGGAAGGUAGAAUUCCCGGUGUAGCGGUGAAAUGCGUAGAGAUCGGGAGGAAUACCAGUGGCGAAGGCGGCCUUCUGGACUGACACUGACGCUGAGGUGCGAAAGCGUGGGUAGCAAACAGGAUUAGAUACCCUGGUAGUCCACGCCGUAAACGAUGUCGACUAGCCGUUGGGCGCCUCGAGUGCUUAUGGGCGAAGUUAACGCGAUAAGUCGACCGCCUGGGGGAGUACGGCCGCAAGGUUAAAACUCAAAUGAAUUGACGGGGGCCCGCACAAGCGGUGGAGCAUGUUGGUUUAAUUCGAUGCAACGCGAAGAACCUUACCUACCCUUGACAUCCUCGGAAUCCGCCAGAAAUGGCGGAAUGCCUUCGGGAACCGAGUGACAAGUGCUGCAUGGCUGUCGUCAGCUCGUGUUGUGAAAUGUUGGGGUAAGUCCCGUAACGAGCGCAACCCUUGUCCCUAUUUGCCAGCGAUUCGGUCGGGAACUCUAGGGAGACUGCCGGUGACAACCCGAAGAAAGGUGGGGACAACUCCAGUCCUCCUGGCCCUUACGGGG